UACGUAGGGAGCAAGCGUUGUCCGGAAUCAUUGGGCGUAAAGCGCGUGUAGGCGGCUUGGUAAGUCUGCUCUGAAAGCCCGGGGCUCAACCCCGGGAGGCGGGUGGAUACUGCUGAGCUCGAGUCCGGAAGAGGCGAGUGGAAUUCCCGGUGUAGCGGUGAAAUGCGCAGAUAUCAGGAGGAACACCAAUUGCGAAGGCAGCUCGCUGGGACGUUACUGACGCUGAGACGCGAAAGCGUGGGGAGCAAACAGG
rnacentral:rRNA from 1 species